GCACACUGUCACUGAGCUAUCCUCACUUGCGAGUUUCUCGCCAAAAACAUGGUAUCAUUUCUGUGCCCACCCUAUUUGCCAGAUUUAGCACCUGCAGACUGCCAUCUCUUCCCCAAGAUGAAAAUGCUGCUCAAUCAUGUCUGGGCCAGACUAAAGAAGUGGCAGAAAUGCUAUGCAAGGUGACUAUUUUGAAGGAGAGGAUUUAAAACUUAUGUAAAUAAGUUAUUUUAUUAAACAUAACUAGUCUGGGAACUCUUUGAUACCCUAACAUAUAUAUGUGUGUGUGUGUAUACAUAUAUACAUGUGUGUGUGUAUAUGUGUAUGUACAUGUGUGUAUGUGUGUACACAAUACUUAUAAUGUAUAUAUGUAAACCUGGAAUGGCAUUAAUUGUAAUAUUUUUUCUUAGAGAGACUUCUUGCAAAGUUUUAUGUGUGUUGAAAAAAACACUGGUGUAUUAAUCUAAUUUGGUUUUGUCAGCGAUCAAGACUCCUUCGACAUCCUGAGCCUAGUUGAAAAAAUCAGUGCUUCAGACAACAAGAGAAGCUACGAAGCUGAAAAAUAUUCAAGGCUUUAUACCAAGGAACCUGUGGGGCUUUGUUCUCAAAUUUGGUUUCCAUAGUGUUAACUGAAUGAAAGAUGAAUCAUUCUCUAGUCUGUCAAAGAUUACUUUUCCUGAAAGUCUCAUACAUAUAUUUGCAACAGGUAAGUAAAAUGAAGUAAUAUUAAAAUGUAUAAAACUGUUUUCUAUGCCUCUAUCGUAUACUCUAACUUCUCAUCAUUUGGCAUAAUGAGAUUUAAGUGAGUAUAGUAUUUUGCCCAUAUUCUA